rnacentral:rRNA from 1 species
GACGAACGCUGGCGGCGUGCUUAACACAUGCAAGUCGAACGGAAAGGCCCUGCUUGCAGGGUACUCGAGUGGCGAACGGGUGAGUAACACGUGGGUGAUCUGCCCUGCACUUCGGGAUAAGCCUGGUAAACUGGGUCUAAUACCGGAUAGGAGCCAUUUUUAGUGUGAUGGUUGGAAAGUUUUUUCGGUGUAGGAUGAGCUCGCUGCCUAUCAGCUUGUUGGUUGGGUAAUGGCCUACCAAGGCGGCGACGGGUAGCCGGCCUGAGAGGGUGGCCGGCCACAUUGGGACUGAGAGACGGCCCAGACUCCUACGGGAGGCAGAAGUGGGGAAUAUUGCACAAUGGGCGCAAGCCUGAUGAAGCGGCGCCGCGUGGGGGAUGACGGCCUUCGGGUUGUAAACUCAUUUCGCUAGGGACGAAGCUUUUUGUGACGGUACCUAGAUAAGAAGCACCGGCUAACUACGUG